UACGUAGGGUGCAAGCGUUGUCCGGAAUUACUGGGCGUAAAGCGUGCGCAGGCGGUUUUGUAAGCCAGAUGUGAAAUCCCCGGGCUCAACCUGGGAAUGGCAUUUGGGACUGCAAGGCUGGAGUACGGCAGAGGAGACUGGAAUUCCUGGUGUAGCAGUGAAAUGCGUAGAUAUCAGGAGGAAUACCGAUGGCGAAGGCAGGUCUCUGGGCUGAUACUGACGCUCAUGCACGGAAGCGUGGGGAGCAAACAGG
rnacentral:rRNA from 1 species